UGGUAGUUCAGUUGAUAGAGCACAAGACUCUUAAUCUCAGGGAUGUGGGUUUGAGCCCCACACUGGGCAAAA